GUGCUCGUCACCGGCGCAGGUGGUAGAACAGGACAAAUAGUCUACAAGAAACUGAAGGAGAAGGCGGACCAGUUCAUUGCUAGAGGCCUAGUUAGGACAGAGGAGAGCAAAGAAAAAAUUGGAGGAGUUGAUGACGUUUUUGUGGCUGAUAUAAGGGACACAGAAAGUAUCGUUCCGGCUGUUCAAGGUAUUGAUGCACUUAUAAUUCUUACAAGUGCUGUUCCAAAGAUGAAACCAGGAUUUGACCCAAGCAAAGGUGAG
rnacentral:misc_RNA from 1 species